AUUGAACGCUGGCGUCAGGCCCAACACAUGCACGUCGAACGAGUGGCGGACGGGUGAGUACUGUCUGGGAAACUGCCUGAUGGAGGGGGAUACCUACUGGAAACGGUAGCUAAUACCGCAUACCAUCGGAUGUGACCAGAUGAGAUUAGCUAGUAGGUGGGGUAACGGCUCAACUAGGCGACGCUCCCUAACUGGUCUGAGAGGAAGACCAGCCACACUGGAACUGAGACACGGUCGAGACUCCUACGGGAGGUAGUAGUGAGGAAUAUUGCAAAAUGAGCGCGAGCCUGAUGGAGCCAUAGCGGGUGAAUGAAAAAGGCCUUAGGGUUGUAAAGUGCUUGCAGCGGGGAGGCGUUACCCGCAGAAGAAGCACCGGCUAACUCCGUGCCGGCAGCCGCGGUAAUUG
rnacentral:rRNA from 1 species